GCCGGGCGCGGUGGCGCAUGCCUGUAGUCCCAGCUACUCGGGAGGCUGAGGUGGGAGGAUCACUUGAGUCCAGGAGUUCUGGGCUGUAGUGUGCUAUGCCAAUCGGGUGUCCGCACUAAGUUCGGCAUCAAUAUGGUGACCUCCCAGGAGCAGGGGACCACCAGGUGGCCUAAGGAGGGGUGAACCAGCCCAGGUCGGAAACGGAGCAGGUCAAAACUUCCGUGCUGAUCAGUAGUGGGAUCGCACCUGUGAAUAGCCACUGCACUCCAGCCUGGGCAACGUAGCGAGACCCUCUCUCUA
ensembl:misc_RNA Metazoa_SRP Metazoan signal recognition particle RNA